CCAUUGGCCGCAGAUCCUGGCCAAUGGGAGCUGCAGGGGUGGCACCUGCGGAUGGGGCAGCAGACGGAGCCUCUGGGCUGCCCCUAAACAUAGGAGCCUGAGGGGGGACAUGCUACUGCUUUCGGGAGCCACAGCACACGCAUGAGGAGCAACCCCCGACCCCGCUGCCUGGUUGGAGCAUGGGAGUGGGGCAAGCCCCAGACCCUGCUCCCCAGCGGGAGCUUGAGGGCCGGAUUAAAUCAGCUGGUGGGCUGGAUGUGGCCUGCGGUCUGUAGUUUGCCCAACCCUUCUUUAGGAUCUCAGAACUUGUGUCAAAGGAGAAACUGAUAGCAGUAGUAGAAUGUCAUUCUCCAUAUGGACCAGCACUAGAAAGGAUGAGGCAUACACAUGGACAGCAAAGGAACAGAGACACUCAGGAAUCUUGGGUUCCAUCCCAGGUACUGCAGUGUAACAUGUUCUAGUCCUCUGAUAGAGAAAGAAGAGG